CUAAAAAUGAAAUACAAAGCUGAUUUUUUAUUUUUUUUUGCCAAAAGUUAUAAGAAUCAUUACCUUAUUGACUUCCUAUUAGUAAGGAAGUAUUUAAUCACUGCAAAAUGCAUUGCAGUAAGUUAUUGGGUCCCAAUAAUAUCUGACAUUUUCUGUUCAUCUUUAUCUUUCUAACUACAAUAUAUUUUUUUAUUUAUGGUAAUUUAGUUCCCCUUAAAUAUUUAAAAAUAUUGCAAAUGUUGUUAUUAACGUUAUCAAUGUUGAUACUUGCAAUAUUG
rnacentral:lncRNA from 1 species